AUUGAACGCUGGCGGCAGGCCUAACACAUGCAAGUCGAACGAGUGGCGGACGGGAGAGCAAUGUAUGGGAAACUGCCUGAUGGAGGGGGAUAACUACUGGAAACGGUAGCUAAUACCGCAUACCAUCGGAUGUGCCAAGAGGGGUUUAGCCAGUAGGUGGGGUAAAGGCUCACCUAGGCGACGAUCCCUAGCUGGGCUGAGAGGAUGACCAGCCACCCUGGAACUGAGCCACGGUCCAGACUCCUACGGGAGGCAGCAGUGGGGAAUAUUGCACAAUGGGCGCAAGCCUGAUGCAGCCAUGCCGCGUGUAUGAAGAAGGCCUUCGGGUUGUAAAGUACGUUCAGCGGGGAGGCGUUACCCGCAGAAGAAGCACCGGCUAACUCCGUGCCAGCAGCCGCGGUAAUUC
rnacentral:rRNA from 1 species